UACGUAGGGUGCAAGCGUUAAUCGGAAUUACUGGGCGUAAAGCGUUCGUAGGCGGUUUUGCAAGUCCGCUGUGAAAUCCCCGGGCUUAACCUGGGAAUGGCAUUGGUGACUGCACGGCUAGAGUGUGGCAGAGGGGGGUAGAAUUCCACGUGUAGCAGUGAAAUGCGUAGAGAUGUGGAGGAAUACCGAUGGCGAAGGCAGCCCCCUGGGAUAACACUGACGCUCAUGCACGAAAGCGUGGGGAGCAAACAGG
rnacentral:rRNA from 1 species